AGGGGAAUUAAGUAAAAUUACUGCUAAUAAUUUUUUGUCGGUUUGUUUCGACUUCCUCUU
rnacentral:tRNA from 1 species